UGGCCCUGCGCCGGCGACGGGUUCAUUCAAAUUUCUGCCCUAUCAACUUUCGAUGGUAAGGUAUUGGCUUACCAUGGUUUCAACGGGUAACGGGGAAUUAGGGUUCGAUUCCGGAGAGGGAGCCUGAGAAACGGCUACCACAUCCAAGGAAGGCAGCAGGCGCGCAAAUUACCCAAUCCCGACUCGGGGAGGUAGUGACAAUAAAUACUGAUACAGGGCUCUUUUGGGUCUUGUAAUUGGAAUGAGUACAAUUUAAACCUCUUAACGAGGAACAAUUGGAGGGCAAGUCUGGUGCCAGCAGCCGCGGUAAUUCCAGCUCCAAUAGCGUAUAUUAAAGUUGUUGCAGUUAAAAAGCUCGUAGUUGAACCUUUGGCCUGGCUGGUGGGUCCGCCUCACCGCGUGCACUCGUCCGGCCGGGCCUUCUCUUCUGGAGAACCUCAUGCCCUUCACUGGGUGUGCUGGGGACCAGGACUUUUACUUUGAAAAAAUUAGAGUGUUCAAAGCAGGCCUUUGCUCGAAUACGUUAGCAUGGAAUAAUAGAAUAGGACGUGCGGUCCUAUUUUGUUGGUUUCUAGGACCGCCGUAAUGAUUAAUAGGGACAGUCGGGGGCAUCAGUAUUCAAUUGUCAGAGGUGAAAUUCUUGGAUUUAUUGAAGACUAACUACUGCGAAAGCAUUUGCCAAGGAUGUUUUCAUUAAUCAGUGAACGAAAGUUAGGGGAUCGAAGACGAUCAGAUACCGUCGUAGUCUUAACCAUAAACUAUGCCGACUAGGGAUCGGGCGGUGUUUCUAUAUUGACCCGCUCGGCACCUUACGAGAAAUCAAAGUGUU
rnacentral:rRNA from 1 species